rnacentral:rRNA from 1 species
UUGCUCCACGGGGCGCAGCAGUGGGGAAUAUUGCACAAUGGGGGAAACCCUGAUGCAGCGACGCCGCGUGAGUGAAGAAGUAUUUCGGUAUGUAAAGCUCUAUCAGCAGGGAAGAUAAUGACGGUACCUGACUAAGAAGCCCCAGCUAACUACGUGCCAGCAGCCGCGGCAAUACGUAGGGGGCAAGCGUUAUCCGGAUUUACUGGGUGUAAAGGGUGCGUAGGUGGCAGGGCAAGUCAGAUGUGAAAGCC